rnacentral:lncRNA from 1 species
CCAACCCAUAUGGCACAUAAUGAUCUAUACUUAAUAUUACUAUCAUCCUAUUAAUAGCAUAUCAUUUGAUCGUGAACAUAUUUUAAGAACUAAACGAUAAAUCUUCUUUUAUCGAUUAAAUAUAGUCCUAAGGGCUUCAUCACAAUAUAGAAAUUCAAAGAAGAUGGAUAAAAUGUGAUGAAAAAAUUAAAUAAUUUUUAUUAAUAAAAAUUUAUAUACAAUG